AUUGAACGCUGGCGGCAGGCUUAACACAUGCAAGUCGAACGGUAACAUAGAGAAGCUUGCUUCUUUGAUGACGAGUGGCGGACGGGUGAGUAAUGCUUGGGAAUCUGGCUUAUGGAGGGGGAUAACUACGGGAAACUGUAGCUAAUACCGCGUAAUAUCGAAAGAUUAAAGUGUGGGACCUUCGGGCCACAUGCCAUAGGAUGAGCCCAAGUGGGAUUAGGUAGUUGGUGAGGUAAAGGCUCACCAAGCCGACGAUCUCUAGCUGGUCUGAGAGGAUGACCAGCCACACUGGGACUGAGACACGGCCCAGACUCCUACGGGAGGCAGCAGUGGGGAAUAUUGCGCAAUGGGGGCAACCCUGACGCAGCCAUGCCGCGUGAAUGAAGAAGGCCUUCGGGUUGUAAAGUUCUUUCGGUAGCGAGGAAGGUGGUUAGUUUAAUAGGCUAGCCAAUUGACGUUAACUAAAGAAGAAGCACCGGCUAACUCCGUG
rnacentral:rRNA from 1 species